AACGAACGCUGGCGGCAUGCCUAACACAUGCAAGUCGAACGAGACCUUCGGGUCUAGUGGCGCACGGGUGCGUAACACGUGGGAAUCUGCCCUUUGCUUCGGAAUAACAGUUAGAAAUGACUGCUAAUACCGGAUGAUGUCGAAAGGCCAAAGAUUUAUCGGCAAAGGAUGAGCCCGCGUAGGAUUAGGUAGUUGGUGGGGUAAAGGCCUACCAAGCCGACGAUCCUUAGCUGGUCUGAGAGGAUGAUCAGCCACACUGGGACUGAGACACGGCCCAGACUCCUACGGGAGGCAGCAGUGGGGAAUAUUGGACAAUGGGCGAAAGCCUGAUCCAGCAAUGCCGCGUGAGUGAUGAAGGCCUUAGGGUUGUAAAGCUCUUUUACCAGGGAUGAUAAUGACAGUACCUGGAGAAUAAGCUCCGGCUAACUCCGUG
rnacentral:rRNA from 1 species